CAGCCGCGUAAUUCCAGCUCCAAUAGCGUAUAUUAAAGUUGUUGCAGUUAAAAAGCUCGUAGUUGAAUUUCGGGAUCGAAUUGUUGGUCGUGCUUCGGUACGCACUGGCAUUAUCGGUUCCUACCUUCUGAAGAACCGCGAUGUCAUUAAUUUGGUGUCGUGGGGAAUCAGGACUGUUACUUUGAAAAAAUUAGAGUGUUUAAAGCAGGCUUACGCUUGAAUACAUUAGCAUGGAAUAAUGAAAUAGGACGUUUGAUUCUAUUUUGUUGGUUUCUAGGAUCGACGUAAUGAUUAAUAGGGAUAGUUGGGGGCAUUAGUAUUCAAUUGUCAGAGGUGAAAUUCUUGGAUUUAUUGAAGACUAACUACUGCGAAAGCAUUUGCCAAGGAUGUUUUCAUUAAUCAAGAACGAAAGUUAGGGGAUCGAAGACGAUCAGAUACCGUCGUAGUCUUAACCAUAAACUAUGCCGACUAGGGAUCGGAUGAUGUUAAUUUUAUAAUGACUCAUUCGGCGCCUUACG
rnacentral:misc_RNA from 1 species